rnacentral:tRNA from 2 species
GGCCCCGUAGCUCAGUCGGAUAGAGCACAAGAUUCCUAAUCUUGGUGCCACAGGUUCGAUUCCUGUCGGGGUCACCA